AGAGGAUGAUUUCAGAAAAGUCUGGAAAGACUUCUACAAACUGAUGCAAAGUGAAGUGAGCAGAACCAGAACAUUGUACACAGUGGCAGCAAUAUUUCUUGAUGAACAGUGAUCUAAGACCAUCCCAGACUCAGGAUGAAAAAUACCAUCUACUCUCCAAGAAAGAACUGAUGGAGUCAAAGCAGAUUGAAAUAUACUAUGUUUCAUCUUCCUCUCUCCCUCCUUCCCUCCUUUUCUUCCUUCCUUCCCUCCUUUCCUUCCUUCCCUCCUUUCCUUCCUUCCUUCCUUCCUUCCCUCCUUUCCUUCCUUCCCUCCUUUCCUUCCUUCCUUCCUUCCUUCCUUCCUUCCUUCCUUCCUUCCUUCCUUCCUUCCUUCCUUCCUUCCUUCCUUCCUUCCUUCCUUCCUUCCUUCCUUUCUUCCCUCCUUUCCUUCCUUCCCUCCUUUCCUUCCUUCCUUCCUUCCUUCCUUCCUUCCUUCCUUCCUUCCUUCCUCCCUCCCUCCCUCUCUCCCUCCCUCUCUCUGUCUCUCUCUGUCUCUGUCUCUCUGUCUCUUUCUGUUUCUCUCUCUCUCUGUGUCUGUGUCUGUGUCUGUCUCUGUCUCUCUGUCUGUCUUUGUCUCUGUCUCUGUCUCUGUCUCUGUCUCUCUCUGUUUCUCUCUGUUUCUCUCUCUGUGUCUGUGUCUGUCUCUGUCUCUCUCUCUGACUCUCUGUCUAUCUGUCUGUCUCUCUCUCUGUCUCUCUCUCUCUGUGUCUGUCUCUGUCUCUCUCUCUGACUCUGUCUAUCUGUCUGUCUGUCUGUCUCUCUCUAUCUCUCUCUCUGUCUCUCUCUGUUUCUCUCUCUCUCUGGGUCUGUCUCUCGCUCUCUGUUUCUGUCUCUCUCUCUGACUCUCUCUGACUCUCUCUGACUCUCUCUGUCUGUCUGUCUGUCUGUCUCUCUCUGUGUCUGUCUGUCUCUGUCUCUCUCUCCCUCUGUGUCUGUCUGUCUGUCUCUCUCUAUCUCUCUCUCUGUCUCUCUCUGUUUCUCUCUCUCUGUGUCUGUCUCUGUGUCUGUCUCUCGCUCUCUGUUUCUGUCUCUCUGACUCUCUCUGUGUCUGUCUGUCUGUCUCUCUCUGUCUGCCUGUCUCUCUCACUGAGUGACUUGCCCAGGGCCACAGAGCUAGGAAAUGUCUGAGGCCAAGUUGAAGCUGGGCUCCCCUGGCUUUAGGCCUGGUGCCCUCACCGAGUCCACACUCUCUUGAAGGAUGGGGGUAUUUCCAUGAUGUACCCAGUACACCAGCUCAGUAAAAAACGGGGCUCUUUCAAGAGGAGGAGGGCGCUGACAGGUAGAGGGAAGGGCAGGGAAUCAGGAAAGACCUUGGGGGAGAGGUGGCUCUGCAGUUAAGCCUGGAAGGAAAUCCAAUGGUUUUCUCUUAGAAUACCUUUUGAAAGAUUACAUUUGCUUUUACUUCAGUAGGAAAAAUCAUAUCUGGUUGACUUAGUCAUUUGUGGCAUCGAGGGAGGGCCAAGAUUCCAUGACAUUCUCCCCAGGGCCUAGCAGAGCUGAGCCAACAACGGGUGCCAGGUAAGAGCUCUGUGUGGACCGCGUUGGCUGCCCGGGCGGGGAUGGCCCCUCUGAAGGAGGCGCUGGGGUGAUGCUCAAGCCCUCCUGCCCCACUCCAGUGGGGCCGGCAGGGAGGGCGGAUCAGUGCUUUGUCUUUGCCUUUCUACCCUGGAGGAGAGAUCUUGGGGAGAACAGAAGAAAGGACAGAGAGGAGGAGGCUGGAGGCCCAGAUCGGCGCCUGAGUCAUUGCUCCCUUCUGUUAAGGCAGCACUUUCAAGGCGAAGGUCUCAGAUCCUAUCUGAAGGGCUCACGCUUGUCUCUUUUUUUACCCCAAAGAGAAGCACGUCACAGAAAGUCACCCUGGCGGUGUCUACGGCUAAGAGCUGGCUCCCGUGGCUGAGUGACUCAGAACCGGAGGCCGGGCGACAGCCCCUGAGACUCGGUGACCAGCACAGGGUGAAGCGGCUUCUCUCUCUGACUGUCGGACGCCCCCGGGCUUGGGAUGGAGAGAAAUGGCAGACUCACAGCCUCUCAUUUCUGGAGGGUUCUCCGGAGGCCAUCGAAUCCCCUGGACAGGACGUCCCCUUCACUUCAUGCCAGCCCCGAGAGCUCACUGGUCACUUCCACGCCGUGCCCACUUCAUUAAUUAAAGGGUCAGUGUGGCGGGCUUAUGGGAAGGCCGCCAUGAUCACCAGUGGGCAGAGCUGGGAACGGGUUCCACCAUUCUCUGAAACGGUUUGGAAUGAUCUGAGAAAAGUGAUUCAAUGGGUACUCUGUUUUGUUCCAGCAAUCCAAGCCUCUGGCAUCUACUCCAAGAAGAUCCAAGAAGAGGGAAUUUCCCCGUCAAAAUAUUCAUUUUUGCACUUUGUGGGGUAAUCAAAUGGGUGUCCAUUGAUUGACAUUGUAUUCCUAAUUUCUCAGCUGGGUCACUUAGUGGAUGGAGAGCCAGGCCUAGAGACGGAAGGUCCUGGGUUCAAAUCUGCCCUCAGUCACUUCUUAGCUUUGUGACCUUGGGCAAGUCACUUAAUGCUAGCCCUUACCUCCUUCUGCCUUGGAGCCAAUACACAGUAUUGACUCCAAGACAGAAGGUGAGGGUCUAAAAAAAUGUAAUAUAAGGGAAUACUAUCGUGUCAUUAUAUAUAUUGCAUCAUUUUAUGUGUGAUCUAUAAGGGAAUGCCAUUGCAUCCUGAGAAAUAUUUCAGAGAAACUUGAGAAGAUUUGAAUGAAAGGAUGCAGAGUGAAGAGAAUGGAAUAAAAAGUAUCCAAAAUGAUCA
rnacentral:lncRNA from 1 species